CUAAUAUUGAAAAUUUAAGAAUAUCAUAGAAGAUGUCAAGGAAUCCUAGGAUGGAAAUCAGAAUGUGACAACAGGAUCUAAAUAUAGCACAAAUAUGUGGAACAACCUCAUGGAAUGGAUCAGGGGAAUAAGUUGUCAAUCUACCUUUGGGAAUGGGUGGAACCUGUGAGAUUAAAUAUCAGGGAAUUAUACUAAAACUGUACUCACCCAACAUGUAGGAGGAAGAUGCUAAAAAUUCUAAGACAAUUGUAUAUGUAUUCUGGAAUCAAACAAUUAAAUGGAUUGAUGACCAGUGGUUGGUGUCAUGUUUCUCCCUGGUAGAAGAGGAGUUUAUAGAUAACCAGGGAGGAAUGUUGGAAGGAUCCUAUGUUGAUGUGUUAACAUUGAG
rnacentral:lncRNA from 1 species